GAUGAACGCUAGCGGCAGGCCUAAUACAUGCAAGUCGAACGGAUCUGGAGACUUCGGUUUCCAGAUUAGUGGCGCACGGGUGCGUAACGCGUAUGCAACCUACCUUUUAUUGGGGGAUAGCCCGUCGAAAGACGGAUUAAUACCGCAUAACACUAUUUGAGGGCAUCUGAGGAUAGUUAAAGCUGAAGCGAUAAAAGAUG
rnacentral:rRNA from 1 species